GAGGGUAUAGCUCAGGGGUAGAGCAUACGCAUAGCAUGCACGAGGUCCUGGGUUCAACCUCCAGUACCUCCA
rnacentral:tRNA from 1 species